GUUAAUGGCUGCACGGUACAAUUUGCAAGUGAUCGUCUCUCAUCCCUUAUUCAUGAGAUGUAUAUUGUUUAAGUCCUGCAGCUGCUGUUUAGUAGAUUUGAGUAUUGAGAUAAUCAUCAUCAACAGCAAUGAGUGCAAAUUUUGCUUGUGCUUGAAUUGACCGCUAUCAAUCUAUCAUCAUCAACAGUUGUCAACAGUCUGCUACUUCAUCCCUACGGUUUACUGUCUUUUGUCGUCUUGCACAUUCAAGUGAAUGUGGGUUUAUUCACGGAGACGCCCGUCUAAUGUACCCAACUUUUCAGCUGAUGGAACACGUGUGGAUGCCUGGCAGUAUUUUCCAGGC